GGCUCUCGGGAGCUGUGAGGGGCGCCCAGGCAUCAUCCCCACGGCUGGGGAAUGAACCACCGGGGGGCGGGGGGGGGGGGGGGGGGCGGGAUAAGGAGAGAGGGAUUGCGUUCAGUCCGAGGAUAAGGCAAGCGGGCGGCCGGGUAACGGAAUGCCGACAACAGGGUCAUGUGACAGCUUGGUGGGCAGAAUCAGCUGAGGAGUCUUUGUGGAAGGGUGGGGGGUGGGGGGUGGGGGGGGUGGUGUUGAUGGGAGGAUUAAAACAAACAAAGCUCAUUUCUGUAGCAUGAAUGCAGAGGAGAAAUCGAACACAUGCAGUGCCCUCGUGUAAUUCGGGGCCUCUUCGCUUGCCGGAACGAGCGCGGCUCAUCGGAAGGGAAGCGCGAUGCACUUUUCUUCACAAAAUGAACAAAUUUGCCGCGUUGGGCCAAUUGUACACUGGAGGCUUGUACACCCCCACGCUCGCUGCGGUACGGAUUGGAUCCCUUUUGUCCCCCUUCUGCCGCUUGGGAAGCAGACGGCCUGCAGCGCCUGUUCUGUAACCUCGUUACGGCACACCAGCCCCUCGGCGCAUCGAACCCGGGAUCGCUGUCCGACUAGUACCAGAGCCUCCGAUCGCGUCCUGCUUCUCAACCUAAGUGCUCGGCACCUGAAUCUUGACGGCGACGCCGGAGAGGGGCGGAGGGGGUGUAACCGCACCCCGUUUUUCCGCAGUCCUGCCAUUUUUGAAACGGACCAGAUGAAGGACCGGAACAGGCUGGGUCUCAGGCCCGGUCUGACGCCGUGCAUGUGA
rnacentral:lncRNA from 1 species